rnacentral:lncRNA from 1 species
CCCGGAGAAGCUUGUCAGGAAGGUGCAGAGUUGGACAGGGAGGGCCUGGGACAAAUCCUGAGGAACAGCACCCACGCUGGCCCUGGGAGGGAGGGACAGAGCUGCAGGAAGAACCUGGGGAGAGAAGACAAGAAGUGGCCGCUGCAUCUCGGGCCACGCCGUUCUGCUGGGAGAUGGGCCAAGACUCGUGCUUUGGACUGAAACAAAAACGUCUCUGCAGACCCGGGCGACAGCCGUGGGUGACCAGUGAGGGGAUGUCAGGGGAAACCACGGGGUUAUUUCUCCAAGGUCAGCUUGAAGAGGCCACGAGGGGACAAAGCAAUCUGUCAUCAUCUCUGUGCAAAGGCUCACCCCCCCGCGGCUGACAGAAGCUGCUUCACACAGCCGAAAAAUAGCACUUAUGGAAAGGUCCAGUUCAGUCCAGCGCGAGGCUGCAGCCCUUCGGGGCAGACACGUGAGCCUGAGGGAUGGGACAGGACCGAGGCCCCCUGACAGGGGCUCUGGGCGCUGGUCUUCAGGCAACUUGAGGUUCACAGAUGUCAAGGGGCAGGAGCAAGGCUGAGGAUGGCUAGUUUUCAUCCACCGAGCGGGUUUUCUGAGCAUUUACUUCCCACCACCCACUCCGUUAUUUUAGAGGAGGUAGUGGUGUAGUCCUAAAUCCUUGAUCCCAAGGAAGUCACCCUCUAGUGUCAGAUAAAGAUUCAUGAAGACGUGGGUUAUAAAGAAACUCAAGACCUGUUAGUGCAGAAGUGAGAAGAUGGUGAGAGCCGUCAACAGGAUGGGACGCGCAUGCUGGGAGGACGACAUGUUUCACGGGGCGGGGGUCAGGGAGGCGCACUGGCAUUCCACAAAGGGGACACCUGCUGCAUGCACCCCCUGCACUAGCUGUCGUGUGGCAGAGACGGGGAGCGUGUGAUCCCUGCCCUUUCAGAGACGGGAAGUCUGGAAAAAGCACAAAGACUCAAGUCAACAAAGCAACACAGCACGGGAGAUUCUGUGCCAGCGACUGUUCCCCGGGCAAGAGGGGGGCUGAGCGGGGUCUGAGGACAAUGACUGGUGGUUGAUUUAGAAAUUAGGAAAGCGUUUUAGCAGAGGGACCAGCGUGUAUGACGCUGCCUGACACAUUAGGAGACGUUCUGUGUCGCUGGGUAGGGGCUGGCUGUGGUGAACAAGGGCCAGAGGAGAGCAGGGGUGGAGGAGGCCAGUCCAGUCAUACAGGGUCCCCUGUGCCAAAUUAAGGAGUUUAGACCAGACGCCGGCAUCAGCGAGGAAACUGCAGAGCCCUUUAAUGAG